UAGACCUUCAAGUUGGGGGGUUGGGCAGCUAGCUAGCCAGGUAGGCCGCGGCCAAUUUCAUGCUGGUGAAAGCCAACUCAUUGUCCCUGAGCUACCCAACUCGCUCACCAAAACCCGGUCUGCUCACUCUCUCAUCUCUCAAAUCCAUCCCGCCAAAGCACCGAGCAGGUUCCCGCUAAAUAGAUGCCUGAUGCCGCCCGAAUCUGACGUCAUCUCACCGGUGGAGGCAGUCUCCAAGUCGCUUCUCGACAAGCCCCUAAACCAGCUAACUGAUGACGACAUUUCUCAGCUCACUCGCGAAGAUUGCCGCCGGUACCUCAAAGAGAAAGGUAUGAGAAGACCGUCGUGGAACAAAUCGCAGGCGAUUCAACAAGUGAUUUCGCUGAAAGCGCUUACCGAAAUGCCGCCGGAUUCUGACUCCGGCAGUUACAAGAAGCUGUACGCUCCUCGGUCUCCGAGCACCAGUAAUAAUCACGAAUCUCGUGUCUCCAAAGAAACGGAUAUAGAUGCAGAAAUUUCGGAAUCAGCGGAAGUGAUGCCAUUUAGGGGAAAAAAUCUGGAAAAGACUGAUCUAUUUGGUGACCUACCAGCUCACCCAGCGGCUGCUGUCAAGGACUCUGCUCCAUCUAGAAGCACAGAGUCAACAUGUAUUCCAGCUAGGCAAAUGGCAAUCUUCUAUUGUGGCAAGGUGAAUGUCUAUGAUGAUGUGCCAGCUGAUAAGGCACAAGCACUCAUGCAUUUUAUUGGAAGCACACUCCCUGUUCCUCCUGACUCUCCAUAUGAUGGUGCUGUAACUGCACAACAUUCAGUGUGCCAUUUACAAGCUGCAAAUGUUAAAGUAUGCCAAGAGUAUGCAGUGCCGCUCUCACCAGCAGUGCAAACAGUGGAAGGCCCAACAAGCAGAAAAGCAUCAGUUCAGAGAUAUCUUGAGAAGCGAAAAGACAGGUGAAGGUUCAAGAGCAAGAGUAAGAUAGAAACCGCUUCAACGUCUAGCUUAGACAUCUACUUGAACCAUCAAAUGGGAAGUCAUAACUCCAAUGAGCACUCAAAUGUUAAAGACUGAAUGUUGAAAGGGACCUAUUACACUUUAUGUAUAGUGUCUUCGUGUUAUGAAAACUGCGGGUGCAAUUUCAGGUUGUAGCAUGUAGGUGGUUGACUAAAAUUGAGGAGCUACAUUGAUGUAAGAAAUUUUCAAGUACAUACUCGUCUUGAAUUUGAUAUCUGUGCUAAGAAUGUAACUAUUCUUCAACUACAAGAAAAGUUCCAAGCGAGCUGUUUACCGGCCAUAAGCUCCUUCCCUGUAAAAUGCCAUUCUUUUUGGGGGUCAGAACUAGCACUUCCCUCUUUCAAUGGCAGUUGCCAGUCGGUCUCUGGUUACCAGUAAUGUAAUGAAGCUAUGCUUAUUUUUCUGCAUGUCAUGGUAAUGAUCUAGAAUUUUUUUUAUUUU